rnacentral:lncRNA from 1 species
GAAAUGAAAUGGAUGAGCAGAGGGGUUGCACGUCGUGCACCUAUGCACGCCGUGCACCCCUAGGAUGCUUCCAAAUCACGGCCCUUAAGCAGGGGAACGUCGUGCACCCUUGCACGGCGUUCCUCCCAUUCAAAUACGCAAAAACUUUGAAAAAAGGAGGUGCACGCCGUGCACCCCCCAGUUUCAGCAACUUCCUAUAAAAGGGCUGAUUUUGAAGAAAGAGGGAAUUCUUCCCCAACUCGAUUUUCCCUGAUUUUUCCCGAGUCUGCAAAAACCAGCACCCAACCUCUUCUAGAGGCCAAAUUGAAGAUCUAAAGGAGCUAGGAGUGAAGCUAGGAGUGAAGCUAGGAGGUCAAGAGCAUCGAUUGGAGGAAGAUCAAGCCGAUUAUUUUCUGUAAUAAGAUGGUUAGGUCUUCUUUCCAAAUGCUUUCUUCUAGAAUCAUGUUUAGCUAAUUUCUUUGGGAUUCUUGGAUGAGAUGUAGGAAUUGAGCUAUGAAACCUGUCUUGGNN